AAUAGAUACCCGGGUAGUCCACGCCGUAAACGAUGAGUGCUAAGUGUUAGGGGGUUUCCGCCCCUUAGUGCUGCAGCUAACGCAUUAAGCACUCCGCCUGGGAGUACGGUCGCAAGACUGAAACUCAAAGGAAUUGACGGGGGCCCGCACAAGCGGUGGAGCAUGUGGUUUAAUUCGAAGCAACGCGAAGAACCUUACCAGGUCUUGACAUCCCACUGACCGCUAUGGAGACAUAGUUUUCCCUUCGGGAACAGUGGUGACAAGUGGUGCAUGGUUGUUGUCAGCUCGUGUCGUGAGAUGUUGGGUUAAGUCCCGCAACGAGCGCAACCCUUGAUCUUAGUUGCCAUCAUUUAGUUGGGCACUCUAAGGUGACUGCCGGUGACAAACCGGAGGAAGGUGGGGAUGACGUCAAAUCAUCAUGCCCCUUAUGACCUGGGCUACACACGUGCUACAAUGGACGGUACAAACGGUUGCCAACCCGCGAGGGGAGCUAAUCCGAUAAAACCGUUCUCAGUUCGGAUUGUAGGCUGCAACUCGCCUAC
rnacentral:rRNA from 1 species